GUUUCCGUACAUCUGGUUUUAUUCGGGUCAGGUAUUCUCCUAAGUCCAACGGAUGUAUAAGGUUAACAUCAAUGUGAUUACUUAACGCAGCCUGGCAUGCAGCAUGGUCUGCUUGAUCGUUUCCAGAACUUGAGAAUGGACUGGCAUCUUUUCGUCAUCGCAUCAACAGGAUAUAUUUCAGAGAUCCCAUUCACUGCUUCCAUACAAUCUGUGACGAUGAUAAAAUUUUUUCUAUCGCCGAUGGAGCAAUAUAACAACGCCUGCCACAGCGCAUAUUGUUCGGCAAAGCGAAUUGAGGACCACGAACAUAAACUCCAUUCAUAGGACUCUUCUCCAAUCACCAUCGCACUUCCAACACCACUCUCCGUUCUAGACCCGUCAGUAUAGAUGAUUUCAUACGAAGGAUAUUCAUUACAUAUAUCUUGGAAUUUC